rnacentral:pre_miRNA from 1 species
GUGCAUUGUAGUUGCAUUGCAUGUGCAAAAGCAGAAGUGCAAUGUAACAGCAGUGCAGC